rnacentral:sRNA from 1 species
UUUUAUUUGCGUUAACGAUAGGAGUGACAGCUUUUUUGACCGCCUGUGGCGGUUAAAAAACUAUAACGGAUAGCGUGUUAAAAC